rnacentral:rRNA from 1 species
UACGUAGGCAGCAAGCGUUGUUCGGAGUUACUGGGCGUAAAGGGUGUGUAGGCGGUCUUCUAAGUUUGGUGUGAAAUCUCCCGGCUCAACUGGGAGGGUGCGCCGAAAACUGGGAGGCUAGAGUACUGGAUGGGAGAGUGGAAUUCCUGGUGUAGCGGUGAAAUGCGCAGAUAUCAGGAAGAACACCCGUGGCGAAGGCGGCUCUCUGGGACGGUACUGACGCUGAGACGCGAAAGCGUGGGGAGCGAACAGG